GUGUCGAUUGCUCUUUUGUGUUUUGUGGAAAUCCAAUUUCAGUGUCCACGGUAUGAGUCCACGCGGCUUUAUCCCUUUCUCAGAGAGAUUAGCAGGACUUCCUCCCUCUUCCAGAAGUGUGGCCACGGCAGCAGCUAGGAACCCUUAUGGGGAAGCACGUAAACAAGUGCUAAUCUCCACUCCACUGCAGAGAAACUGCACGGCGUAGAACGGUGGGCCCACCUCACCCAGGUGAAAGUAGCCCAACCUCCGAUAACACCAACAGUGGACCAAUCCCACGGCCUGAAACACCUCUAAGAAGCGAAUAUGGAAACGCCAGAAGCGGGCCUCAGAAUUCCGCUGACCUGGGUCCUCCUCCAGUGGAGCUGGUCAUUGUCAACUCUGCCUGGAAAAUGCCGUACCAGCUCACCUCUGAAGCAAAGUGGAAGGAUCCUUGCUGGUUCUGCCUUUUUCACCUACUAAGACCAUCCCAACCAGGCCAAUAAAUAGAGCCUUUUGGAUAAGAACUCUUGGGUUUUGUCAAGGCUGCCCCACGCAGCAGGCCUCUUGGACACCUGUGGGUUCAAGGUGCCAGAGGUACUAACAAAGGUCAGUGCCUUGGAAUCCCUUCAACCACUUCCCCGAUCACCGUUUGAAUUGAUUUUCAAGAAUGUAUCAUGCAUGUUGAAAACGGUUCGGUGGUCCAUACUCUGGCUCUGUAUGACUAGAAACAGCAUUAGCACCUUCACUGGGAGAAGGAAGGAAACAAAGCUCAUUGGUGGGUUUCUCUUGACUUAUCUCAACGGAGCAGGGGUUUUCUUUUUAUUCGGGUCUAACACCUACAAACCAAACCAAACUCCCUGCC